CCCUUAGAUGUUCUGGGCAGCACGCGCGCUACAAUGGUCUUCGCAAACGGAUGCAUUCUCGAAGGAGAAUGCCAAUCUUGGAAUCUAUGCCUUGGUCGGGACAGUUGCUUGCAAUUUUUCGACUCGAACCAGGAAUUCCUUGUAAUCGUGAUUCAUCACAUCACGAUGAAUACGUCCCUGCCCUUUGUACACACCGCCCGUCGCUCCUACCGAUCGAAGAGUUAGGUGAAUUGUUUUGAUCGAUAAGAUUUGACUAUGGUCAACUCUCGUUGUGAAAUUCUGUGAAUCUGACGGUUGAGAGGAAGGAAAAGGCGUAACA
rnacentral:rRNA from 1 species